rnacentral:misc_RNA from 1 species
GUGGCAAAACACAAACACGCAUACACGAACCGCCUUUCCGGUGUCCCUCCCUGUCGCGCACUUCUUCGCACAGGCUUCCACGGCAAGGAGCUGGCAAACACACACUGGCGUUAACAACAACGGAAACGAAAAGUAAAAGGCAUCGUCAAGAAGUGAGCACACGGAAGUGGAGAAGGGAAGGGGUGGGAGUAUCUCUUAGCAUCCGCAGCGCGCCCGCACACGCACACACACACACACACACACACACGUGCAAAGAGGAGGAAAGCGAGGUACCUGCGGCAAUUGGCAAAGGAAAACACCCAAGCAACAACAGGCAGUGUCUCGAUAAGGAGGGAGGGGAACGACGACGACGAAGGGACGUCUCGCAUUUUUCGCCGUUGCAGCAGGCGUUGUGUGCCUCUGUGCGCCGAUCUUGAAGCUUCUUUUGUGUGUGUGUGUGUCUUUUGAUUUGCUUUGCAGCGUGGUACUCCUUCCUCUACGUUACACGCGACUUUCUUUUACAUGCUCUUAACAUGCACUUAACAGUAACCGACUCGACUAAUAAAAAGACACAGACAGACGCACUCACACGCCUGCUCCUCACCCGUCGCCUACACCCCGCACACCCACCCCUGUUACGUUGUGCUCGCUUUCCAUCGCCGAGUCGGCGUACGUUUCAGCCGUUGGUGCCCUUCCCUCCCUCUCUCCUCUCCCCUUUUGUGUCUGCUCUUAGGCAGUGGCAGUGCAAGUGUGACGGAGUAGGGUAGGUGGCUAAGUUCGCCGGCGUCCACGUGUGUGGCUCCGAGAGCUCCACUCGCACAUACACCACACGAAGCAGCACCUCUCUCGACGGACACUACUUGAGGAUAAGUUGCUGAUUUUCUCUCGCUUGUCCUCACCCCCGUUGCCCUCACCUGCUGCACUGUCGGCGAUGGGGCGAAUCGACUCCUCUUGUGUCGCUGCCACGGUGACGCCUAGCAAGGUCGGCGCAUCGUCGUCUUGUCCCGGCACGGCGACAAGCACUGGCAAGAUAGACGAGCCUGCUUCUCGCGCCGCUACCCCGCAGGGCCGGGCGCAGCGAUGUGGCCGAGCGCGACCCGCCCAGAUGCACAACGGCCUCAGUGCGGGGAUGUGUGAUAACCAACAGCAGCACGCCGCAGGCGUUUGGCAGUUGAUUGCAGGGCCGCAGAGCGCCUCCACGACUCCGCCGCCGCUCGUGAUGGGUGACGGCACAGGCGGCGAGGAUCAUGCGCAGGCUGCCCACGCCGGCGUCCGGUGGACUAAGCACUCGUGGGAAAAGGGCAACGACUGCCCUGCGGGUAGCGCGUACGGGUCUUUUGUGGGCGCGCCGCUGCGCAGGCUGCCGCCAACGCCUCCGUUCCCUGGUGUGCGUCUUCCCGCCUGGUGUCGGUCCGCGUCGGCGACGGCGUAUCCGCUCUCCGAGGACGGCCUCACAAACGAGCUGCUGGACUUCUUCUAUUAUCUGCAGUUGACCUCCCAUGAGGAAGCGGCACGGGAGCGGCUGCUUGGCUACGUGCAGGCGUGCGUGGCGAAGUUGUGGGGUCCCUGUAAACCGGGGAGCGAAGCCGAGGGAACAGCACAGGUGAUGCUGUACGGCAGCUACGCUCUAGGGCUUUCUCUUCCAAGCAGCGACAUUGAUCUUGCCCUGACUUUCCCGGCCGAGGAGCAGGUGGACGUCGCGACCAUUGCAGUGGAGGAAAGGAGUGGGGAUCGCGCUCUCCUGGCGCCGGCGGUCUCGAAGAAACGCCAGGCGCUGCACCUCGAGCGGCUCCACGAUCUUGCCGAGCAGCUGCGGAACUCUGCGACGUUUCCCGAGUUGGAGGUAGAGGUGUAUGAUCAGUGCCGUGUGCCGCGCAUUCAUCUACGAGACAGGACUUGUGGUGGCGUGUCGUGUGACAUCAACAGCUCCUUCGCCUCAGCACGCAUCGCCCGCAUCGUGGCGCGGCAGCGGCUAUGGCUACAGGACUCCCCGCUCGCGGCGUUCCUCGUGCGCGUCACCAAGGCAGCCGUGAAGCAGUGGGGCCUCCACGAAGUGUUCUGGGGCGGCGUCGCCUCCACUGCGCUGUACUGCCUAGUGCUCCGCUUCCUCGCCCAGAUGGAACAGCUUUGCCGACACGCGCAGGUGGAGGAGAAUUUGUCUCCACCGCGCUACGAGGAGGCCGCCGCCGCGCAUGUCGCAACGCAGCUCUCUUCGUUGGCUUGUUCGUCACCGUUGUCUUCACCACAACUCUCCAUGCCACACCCAGCCAACGAGUCUUUCGCAGCGUUUACCCCAGUUCCAGCCGGCACGGCUUCCACUGCUCGCGGCCUCAACAGGCUAAGCGCGGCGGCAGCCGUUCCUUCAUAUGUACCCAGCUGGGUUGUGAAUAGCAGGAAGCACGGCUUGAGCAAGUCGUCGUCCUUGUGCGAUAUGGACAAGAACAGCGCGCUGUGCCCUGUCAGUGUGACCGCUUGCUCCCUUUCCGAUUGGAGCACGAUGAGCAGCACGUGCGACGAGGAUAGGGAGGCGGACGACGAGGUGGAUGGCUACACGCAGGCGGGUCUCACGCGCACCUCCGGCGCCACCACCACUGCGACUACACCGAUCUCUCGCACCGCGGCGAGCACACCGAUGCCGGCUGCAAGCGAAGCGCAUGAGGGAGGCACAGCGACCGCAUCGAGUGCCUUGGCACCACCAGUGAGCGUCAAUUCUGCUGCGCUUCGCGAGGGCGUGUUUCCCAGUGCGGAUGGACUUACUCACAUCGCGCGAUCACGGUAUGGCGCGUCGCCAGCGCGUCUACUGCUGAAGCUGUGGAAGUUUCUUUCUGCCGACGCUUUUGCGAACGGGUAUCAGGUAGCAGAUGCCUUUGGAGAUGACACGGUGUGGUGCGACUGCGGCGAGGCGGGCGACUCGGCCGCGCUACCAAAGCAGCUUCCGCUCAUGGCGUCGCUUGAACUGGCCACGAUUGCGGGCAUGAGCAGCGCCGACCUCUCCGCUGCAUCUUUUCGGCUUCCUGAGCUAAUGGCACUCUUUCGCCACUCGAGCACGUCACUGGAGAACAUGCUCCGGUAUCAGCGCUACCCGCGGCGCACCGUGCCAACGAUGCUCUCUACCAUCUUUGUAGACCCUCGGCUGCCGACUAACUCUUGAAGGAGCGUGGUGGCGCUGUAGAUCUGUUCUCUUCUUUCGCUGAGCUCGUAGUGAUCAUGAGGUUACACCUCAGUGUGGUAUCUCGGGGUUCAAGAGCCCCCCACACGGCGUGCGAGGAAGCCAAGCAGCCCCCCUAUCCCUGCCAUAUACCCCUGCCAAUGCCAAACCACUUCUUGUGGUGGCAGGGUCACGCACCUACGGCGUAGGGGUGGACAGAGCGAUGCACCGCUGCGGAUGUGGGCGGUCAGGCCGUGGAUGAGGUGGCGUCGGAGCGGCCCGCGACAGUGGGCAGGACUGUGCCAUCCGUAUGCUGAGGCAGAGGGUCCGCGUGACGUGAGCGUAUCCCACCCGGCCUCUCGCUGCCUGCUGGUGGGGAGCCUGAGUGUGUCCCCCCGAGAGGGCGGGACCCGGCGGCGGCUGGCGAAGCGGGCGGGUGUGUAGAGUUUGGGGCAGGGGUCGCGCUCAGGUGGCUGAGCCGGCACAUUGCUGCAGCACGUGUGUCUACGCCUGCAUCGCACCACGCAGAGGGGCCUGCCACAUGCCGGGGUACUUGAGCGGAGUUGACGUCUUGCUCUCUGGCAGAGAAAUGGGCACGCUGAAAGUGUCUCUGUGACCUCGUUGUUUGCGUGAAGUUUCGUCGCGUGUAUAGCGGUCCCACGAGCAGCCUCGUUUGAGGAGUCGGUGCGUGUGUGUGUGUCUCUCUUUGCUUCUGUGUGCGAUUCACAAUCUCGUUGUCGACUAUAGCCGGACAACGGCAAAAAG